CCCCCGGAGGUCUAUUGGUUAGGCCUUGGCGCACUCAUCGCUGUGUCCUGGGUUUGAUUCCCUGCCAGGGAA